GACGUAGGGCGCGAGCGUUUGUCCGGAUUUAUUGGGCGUAAAGAGCCGUCGGCUGGCGUCUGUUUGCGUCGGCUAGUGAAAACCCCGCGGCUUAACCGCGGGCUUGCAGCCGAUACUGGCAGGCUAGAGUACGGAAGAGGUAGCUGGAAUUCCUGGUGUAGCGGUGAAAUGCGCAGAUAUCAGGAGGAACACCAGUGGCGAAGGCGCCACUCUGGGCCGUAACUGACGCUAAGGCGCGAAAGCGUGGGGAGCAAACAGG
rnacentral:rRNA from 1 species